rnacentral:rRNA from 1 species
AGCAGCCGCGGUAAUUCCAGCUCCAAUAGCGUAUAUUAAAGUUGUUGCAGUUAAAAGCUCGUAGUUGAAUUUCGGGGUUAGUAGGCUGGUCGUGCCACUGGUAUGUACUGGUCUUACUGACUUCUCCUUUCUGAAGAACUGUAAUGCCAUUAAUUUGGUGUUGCAGGGAAUCAGGACUGUUACUUUGAAAAAUUAGAGUGUUUAAAGCAGGCUAACGCUUGAAUACAUUAGCAUGGAAUAAUGAAAUAGGACGUUCGAUCCUAUUUUGUUGGUUUCUAGGAUUGACGUAAUGAUUAAUAGGGAUAGUUGGGGGCAUUAGUAUUCAAUUGUCAGAGGUGAAAUUCUUGGAUUUAUUGAAGACUAACUACUGCGAAAAGCAUUUGCCAAGGAUGUUUUCAUUAAUCAAGAACGAAGUUAGGGGAUCGAAGACGAUCAGAUACCGUCGUAGUCUUAACCAUAAAACUAUGCCGACUAGGGAUCGGAUGAUGUUAAUUUUUUAAUGACUCAUUCGGCGCCUUAU